AUCACCCCUCUCCCAGCAGGCGAUCAGCAGAACAAUGGGAAGCUGCUAAUGGAUUACAUGGUGUGCAUCCUGGGAGCAGGUCGUCUAUCAAGUUAUGAAAGAAGCCUAUUUCAAGCCAGGUAAAUUGUCCAAGUAGUUUUACAGUAGCCGCACUGUCAGGUACUUAUACAAUAAAGAUCUGAGCUCCAAUAUGACCUUCCAAUUCACCUGCCACAUCAUUAACCUGUCUGUGGAACAGCAAAUAAGCCAUUAUAUUAUUUAAAUCUAUUUGUGCUCCACCAGCAGAUGAAAAAUGUGACAGAGGCUGGGAGGAGGAAGAACUUGUGUAAGGGCAAUGGCUAAUGCUACGCAAGGCAGUUGUACUGGUAACAUGAAGACAAUUGCGCUUACCAAUCAGUUGCUUCUGAAUCCAGGCUAUAAUAUAAGAAACAUAGAUGUUUCUUUUCACCUUAUGUUCACAUUCAUAGGGAAGCUAUAGUGGAACUGUGCCAUUUUGUAUUAUUAGAAAGAUCUAUAUUUUUUUCUUGUUUGCUAUCCUUUAUCACAAAACGUUUGUGUUUGUAUAAUAUAGCCCGGAUCAAGAAUUUAUGCUUACACAGAGCUGAGAAACAUUUCUGUAAUGAUUUUUUUUUAAAACUGAGGUUGAUUAAUUUAAGUUUAUUUGAUCCUUGAAAUGUAAAGUAUAUUUUAAUAAUAAGUAGAAGGGAGCAGAAGUACCCCUGGCUAUUUCAGUUCGAAAAUAAGAGAAACUAGGGGUCAUUUACAAUAAAUAAGGAAAGCACUGGGCAAAGUGCAUUUAGCCAUUGUUUUGCACUUUGCAUACUGCCUUCCUGGGAUCCUGAUUUGUCUAAGGGUGAAAACACACACAGCAAUUAGUCGCCGUGACUUUUAAAAAUUGUGGGAAAAUUUGUGGGAAAGUCGCACAAUUAGUCGCUGCGGGCGACUUUUUUAACUGCACCCAGGGCACUUGCUCUUAAGAGGUAACGUUUGCUGCUGUUCUAUGGAAAAGUGUUGUUAUAUUGUUUUAAUACGGUGUAAACUUUAAAUCUAAACUAUUUACAGUUUCAAAUCUUCAAACAAUAUUCUGUAACAAUAAUCAUAUUUUGUUCACGGUGUCUAAUAAAUUUCCUCUUUCCAAAAGGCCAGAUUUUAAGGCACUGUAACCUCCAUUAGAACUCUUUAUGCUGUUUCUAGUUUUAAUAGUUAGUCACCCCCUGAAUGUCUGUUCUAUGUACCAUCCUUUUGUUUGGAAGCAUGUAUGGAUUUUGAUUUUAUUGCCUGCAGUACUAUUACAAUAAAGGUUUUCCAUGUUUUGGAAAA